rnacentral:rRNA from 1 species
CUAGCUGUAAACGAUGAGCACUUAUCUGGGGAUCCUCCCAUAGGUUCCCGGAUGUAGCGAAAGUGUUAAGUGCUCCGCCUGGGGAGUAUGGUCGCAAGGCUGAAACUCAAAGAAAUUGACGGGGGCUCACACAAGCGGUGGAGGAUGUGGCUUAAUUCGAGGCUACGCGAAGAACCUUAUCCAGGUCUUGACAUGUACGGAUUAACCCCGUGAAAGCGGGGCCACAGCUUCGGCUGGAACGUGCACAGGUGC